rnacentral:lncRNA from 12 species
AUGAAUACUUUGGAGCGAAAGUUGGACAAACGUUCGAAGAAAGAUUCCGAAGACAACGCCAUUGUGGGAAAGAGAAUCCGUGUUGCCAAACGUCUGUGGGAGGAUGAGGAUGAGGAUGACCCCCCUACUGCCGUGGCCACAGUCAGUGGAACCAAAGCUGCCAUUCACAAUCAAGGGGCUGAAAUCCUAGCUUCCAUUUCCUUGGAAGAACAAGCAGAAAAUAGUGACAACGAGCUCUCACUUGUGCGUCAAGAAUUGCUAGAAAUAAAAAAAUUCAUCUUUACAGAGAUACCUCAGAUAAAAGAAAUGCUCAACAGAAGCUCCAUGCACCUCGGCAGUCCAGGGUCUCUCCCCAGCCCUUCAAACCCUGUUCAAAUAGAAGAAAUUGUCCCAGGUUCAGGUGUUUACGUAUCACGAAGUGUGUGGCGCUCUGCUUGCCAGGCAUCUAGUGGGACUUCAAUGGCAAGGAUUUUGCUGCUUGGGGUGUUUGACAUUGAAACACUCAUCAAAAGUAAUUUGAGAGGAGGGGAAUCCAAGGUUUCAAAGGGGGGAGAUGGGGAGAAAAGAAGCGCCCUGGAUGAAAUAAAAGUGAAAGCUAUAAUGGAUGCUGUUAUGUCAAGACACUCAGUUUCGACUGGCCAGAUCGGAGCAGCCCUGAAUGGGAAGAUGGCAGAACUAAGACUGGCAAUGUCCAGGAAAAAUGUUCAUUAAAAAUGAGUGUUUCCCGAGUGAGUCUAAAAAAUCUGAAGUUGAAAUUAAAUGAAGUUUUUACUUGAAAAGUUUGUGUACUGAACAAAAUGCAUUAAAGUUUGUAUUUGAAAAGACCUGGAAUUGUGUUCUGUGGAAUGAGUAUAAAUAUAUGUGCAGGAUAUAUAAAAAACAUAGUUGUACCACUAAUAUAAGUG